UGAAAUCCUUCGUGGGGCUGACAUGAGAGGGAAGGAAGGAAACACCCUUCUGAAAAACAUUAGUCUCAAAGACGGGAAUGGCGAUUGCUUCAGCUCUCUCCAUGAAGGGUCACUUCCUCUCUUGCUCACCUCUCCCCAUCUCCUCUCCAGCCUCAUCAAACACUUCCGUACCUUCCCAUCUCUCUCCAUCUUCUUCUUCUUCUUCAGCUCCUGCUAAGAAAGCCCAUCAUUUGAAGCUCCGGACAAGCAGUGUUAUCCCAAGAGCAUCUUCCGAAGGGGGUUCUAUUCCUGCCGAGUUGAUCGAAGAUUCAAAGUUUGUGCCCUUAAAUGUGGAAGAUCCCCAAUACGGUCCACCUGCUUUGUUGUUUUUGGGUUUUGAGCUGGAGGAGGUACCGAAGAUCAAACUACUUCUGAAAGAGAUGGAUGGUGAAUUCCUACAGAUCAUUUAUUGUACGGAAGACAUGAUCAACCGUUCACUUUGGGAAGCAGUUCAUAUUAGACAAUCCGAUCUAAAUCAGGUUAAGAUCGCAAAGCAACUUCCUCGUAUCUGCUUUCUCUCGGGCCUAAGUGGGGAGGAGAUGAUGAUGUUCAUCGAUGCCUUUCCCGAGACUGGUACGAGAUCUUCCUUAAGCAGAGCUGGUGGCCUUUGUUUUUUCUUUUCCAGGAAAACUAGGAAAAGUUCUUCCAGUUUUCUGUCUCUCUUUGAAUGAUGAAAACAAGGAUUAGAACCAGCAGUAUUUGCAGCUCUCGUGCCCAAUAGUGCUGAUAAACCCCUUCAAGAACUGAUAGAAGAAAUCAUGGGCGACCAUGAAACGCUGACUGGAAAUCAACCAGGUUCACAAUAAGCACGCCCAGCCGAAGUCCUUUGUGAAGUGAUAUCUCGACGGUUUUGUCCAUAAUUCCAGGAGGAGCCAAUACUUUAUCACGGAAGUCGAAAACCAGUAAAGAAGAGAUUGUGGUACAAGAGCUAAAUACAUAUAAUAAGCCUCUGCUUGUUUGUUGUAGGAAUCUUCAAUCAUAAUCACUUUCUGGGAUGUCCUUAGAUUAUAUUACUGUACAGGAGAUCAGGUUCUACAAGAAGGGAAUGUGCUACAUAGCCUUGUUUUGCAAACUACAUUCUCUAAGCUAAAAGAUCACCUUGCCCGGCAUUUCUCCCACCGGAAUGCCUCUGGAGACUUGAAUUACCAUCUAUAAUGUGACAUUCUCCA